UACGGAGGGAGCUAGCGUUAUUCGGAAUUACUGGGCGUAAAGCGCUCGUAGGCGGCUUUGUAAGUCAGAGGUGAAAGCCUGGAGCUCAACUCCAGAACUGCCUUUGAGACUGCAUCGCUUGAAUCCAGGAGAGGUGAGUGGAAUUCCGAGUGUAGAGGUGAAAUUCGUAGAUAUUCGGAGGAACACCAGUGGCGAAGGCGGCUCACUGGUCCAUUACUGACGCUGAGGUGCGAAAGCGUGGGGAGCAAACAGG
rnacentral:rRNA from 1 species